rnacentral:rRNA from 1 species
UAGGGAAUCUUCGGCAAUGGGGGGAACCCUGACCGAGCAACGCCGCGUGAGUGAAGAAGGUUUUCGGAUCGUAAAGCUCUGUUGUUAAGGAAGAACGAGUGUGAGAAUGGAAGUUCAUACUGUGACGGUACUUAACCAGAAAGGGACGGCUAACUACGUGCCAGCAGCCGCGGUAAUACGUAGGUCCCGAGCGUUGUCCGGAUUUAUUGGGCGUAAAGCGAGCGCAGGCGGUUAGAUAAGUCUGAAGUUAAAGGCAGUGGCUCAACCAUUGUAGGCUUUGGAAACUGUUUAACUUGAGUGCAGAAGGGGAGAGUGGAAUUCCAUGUGUAGCGGUGAAAUGCGUAGAUAUAUGGAGGAACACCGGUGGCGAAAGCGGCUCUCUGGUCUGUAACUGACGCUGAGGCUCGAAAGCGUGGGGAGCGAACAGG